ensembl:lncRNA
CUGUGCUGUGUAUGAGGUGCAGGUUAUUUUGUAAUUGUUUCAGCAUUUCCUGGGGUUGUGCGGUGUAUGGAACACAGGAAUUUGCCAAUUUCAAAAAUAUCGCCCACAAUAGGGACUAGGGCAUGUAGAGGGGCCCCAGGGCUACCACGGGCACUAUUCAGAAUUCCCACGCUCCGCUGUUCCUUUAAAUCGCUUCACUUCAAAUUUUUAAAAUCAAGAUUGCAGUACCCAAAAAAGUCCGCUGGGGCUAGAGCUAUCCGAGGGUGGUCUCGGAAUUCCCACGCCCCGCUGUUUGCCCGAGCUAGGUCCAAAAUAACGUUUUUGAAAAGUGCAACCCUGCAUCGACUCAAGGGACCUCAACUCAAGGGGCGCCCCGCCCAAUCAGCAACCCGCAUCAGCAUCAACUCGAGGAAAACCUUCCACGUGUGUCAGCCAUUAUCUCUGCAUUCGAUGAUAAGGUAGGAUGUGGCGAUUAGCCUUGAAAACGAGAGCUGGUAAAUCGUGAAAAAUGCAUUAAAAUGUCAGGGGAUGACUCGGUUAUAUGCUAUAGACCAUAGUGUGUAUGUGGUAUAAAGGCUGGGACGAAUUUCGAAUUAUAAAUAUGUUAAAAUUAAUGUUGAAAUUACGGAGAGUGGCGAUUCCCAUUGAAACGGAUUGCGCGGCAGUUAGCCUUGAAAACGAGUACUGGUAAAUCGUGAAAAAUGCAUUAAAAUGUCAGGGGACGACUCGGUUAUAUGCUAUAGACCAUAGUGUGUAUGUGGUAUAAAGGCUGGGACGAAUUUGGAAUUAUAAAUAUGUUAAAAUUAAUGUUGAAAUUACGGAGAGUAGUAGACGGGCUGUCCUAGUGCCUCGGACAGCCCGUUCAUGGCCAACAAGGACAGCCUCGCCCGCUACUCCUGCGCCCACCCCGCUUUUGCGGAGCACCUCCAGUUCCGCCGGGCGCAGGAGGAGGCCCGGGCUCGUUCCACUCUGCCCGGGCGGGGCGCUUGUUGGCUUCGGGCUGUUCAAGGAGGACACCCUGAAGGACCUGUACGACUCCAAGGAAGGACCUGAAGGACCUGUACGACUCCAAGGACAAGGAGCGUCAGACCUACGUCAAGUGGCUACGGCGGAAGACACCGCAGCCUGGGAGCGCCAUGGACGUCGCCAUAAAUUACUUCUCGGGCCGAGACAAGGAGCGGUCGGCGGAGGCGGCUGCUACACCCCCUCCGCCCGCCAGCAGCAGCACCAGCAGCGGCCUCAGCACCACCACCAGCAAGGCCGCUGCUUCCACCUUGCUGCCGCCCCGCAAGCCGACCGCUCCCAAUUUCUCGGCCCUUGUGCGCGGGCGUCCGAUGGGCCCAGGGGAGCUGCAGGCCCAGAUCAGGAAACUGAUGACCCCACCAGCACGGCCUGCAGCUCCAGCGGUGUCUUCCGUCAGAGACCAGCGUCCCUCGGUUCCGCCGCCCUCCACCACAGAGGUGACGGACGAGGAGCUGGUCCGGAUGGUCACUGACGUGGAAAUGGGUAACUGGCACCACAUACAUGCAUACACACCACAACUGAUAUCUAUUCUUGAGUCAGUAUGUUUGUAUUAACUGUAACUUUUUAAUUUGCUGGUCGCUAAAGCUGAUGCCUGAAGGACAAAGGUAGGUUUAUCAGGUGAUGUAGCCGUCUUUGUAGGUGGUAGACGCGCCGUCCUCACUCACGUGUUGGUAAUGUGGAUUUGAUUAAACUCCCAGUCUAGCAAACCUCGCCUUGGAACUAACAUUCGCCUUGUAACACACCUCUUAACAGUCGCCUUGUAGCACACCUCUUAACGGUCACCUUGUAGCACACCUCUUAACAGUCGCCUUGUAGCACUAAACCAUUUUAUCUAAUCAACGGCAUGCUGCACGUCAUGAAUGCUCAGACUCACUUAGUCUCGCUUGCCUGUGUGUUGCCCCGUCACUAUCAUUGUGCUGAUGCCAUUUGGUUGUGUGUGACCGUGUCUGAAGCUGGCGUACAGGUCCUUCGGGCCCUCCCGCUCCCGCUGGAGACGCCUCCGUCUCCACCUCCCCCGGCACCGUCCUCCACCCCACCACCACCACCACCACCACCACCACAGGUUGCGGCUGCUCCGCCGACGGUCGGGCUUCCUGCUCGGGCUCCGGCGCAGACCAGGGUGGAGCCUCGUGGCGUCUCCGUGGAGGAGAC